rnacentral:misc_RNA from 1 species
CAGCUGCGAGAUUUGGUGUGAAUUGCAGGACACAUUGAGCACUGAUUUUUCGAACGCACAUUGCGGCCUCGGGUCCUGCCCGGGGCCUCGCCUGUCUGAGGGUCGGAUAAGACUUGCAAAGGAAUGUUUCGUUCCAAUUGGCCGCGUCGGAGUCCGUCAGGGCUUCGUCGGCUCAAGUUCCAAUAGGAUCCUCCCCGGUCGAGAGAGCACAAGCCCUAGAGCAUGCUCGUCGAUAGGAGAAGACGGAUAACGUUUCUCCAAGAAGACGAGACGGUUUGAUGCCGAGAAGACCUCAAUGUGGGGAAGAGAACCUACAUGAACAUAAAAGUUCAUACAUAAAUUAACUUUGACGACCUCAGAUCAGACGAGAUGACCCGCUGAAUUUAA